GAAGGCUCGGGCCGCGAUCGGACGAUCUUUUGAUUGUGAUUUUAAAAACAAGAUCAAAAGAUCGUCCGAUCGCGGCCCGAGCCUUC
rnacentral:antisense_RNA from 1 species